AACGAACGCUGGCGGCGCGCCUAAUACAUGCAAGUCGAGCGAGAAGACGUAGCAAUACGUUUGUAAAGCGGCGAACGGGUGAGGAAUACAUGGGUAACCUACCCUCGAGUGGGGAAGUAACUAGCCGAAAGGUUAAGCUAAUACCGCGUACGCUCCUUGGACUUCGGUUCAGGGAGGAAAGACGAUACCGUGGGUAUCGCGCUCUUGGAUGGGCUCAUGUCCUAUCAGCUUGUUGGUGAGGAACGGCUCACCAAGGCUUCGACGGGUAGCUGGUCUGAGAGGACGAUCAGCCACACUGGCACUGCGACACGGGCCAGACUCCUACGGGAGGCAGCAGUAAGGAAUAUUGCGCAAUGGGCGAAAGCCUGACGCAGCGACGCCGCGUGGGGA
rnacentral:rRNA from 1 species